UACGUAGGGUGCAAGCGUUGUCCGGAAUCAUUGGGCGUAAAGCGCGCGUAGGUGGUCAUGUAAGUCCGCUGUGAAAGUCAAAGGCUCAACCUUUGAAAGCCGGUGGAUACUGCAUGACUAGAGUACGGAAGAGGCGAGUGGAAUUCCUGGUGUAGCGGUGGAAUGCGCAGAUAUCAGGAGGAACACCAAUAGCGAAGGCAGCUCGCUGGGACGUUACUGACGCUGAGGCGCGAAAGCGUGGGGAGCGAACAGG
rnacentral:rRNA from 1 species